rnacentral:snRNA from 1 species
AGAUUGCUUGAGCCCAGGAAGUUGGUGGCUGCAGUGAGCUGUGGUUGCGCCACUGCACUCUAGUCUGGGUGACAGAG